AGUGAACGCUGGCGGUAGGCCUAACACAUGCAAGUCGAACGGCAGCACAGUAAGAGCUUGCUCUUACGGGUGGCGAGUGGCGGACGGGUGAGGAAUACAUCGGAAUCUACUUUUUCGUGGGGGAUAACGUAGGGAAACUUACGCUAAUACCGCAUACGACCUACGGGUGAAAGCAGGGGAUCUUCGGACCUUGCGCGAUUGAAUGAGCCGAUGUCGGAUUAGCUAGUUGGCGGGGUAAAGGCCCACCAAGGCGACGAUCCGUAGCUGGUGUGAGAGGAUGGUCAGCCACAGUGGAACUGAGACACGGUCCAGACUCCGACGGGAGGCAGCAGUGGGGAAUAUUGGACAAUGGGCGCAAGCCUGAUCCAGCCAUACCGCGUGGGUGAAGAAGGCCUUCGGGUUGUAAAGCCCUCUUGUGGGGAAAGAAAAGCAGCAGGUUAAUACCCCGCUGUUCUGACGGUACCCAAAGAAUAAGCACCGGCGAACUUCGU
rnacentral:rRNA from 1 species